UCCGGCUUAUCACCAGCGGUUCCUUUAGAGUACCCAACUAAAUGAUGGUAACACAGGACGAGGGUUGCGCUCGUUGAAGGACUUAACCUAACACCUCACGGCACGAGCCGACGACAGCCAUGCAACAAGUGUCUUCACGUCUCCUUGUGAGAGAGGGCCCUAUUUCUAGGGCUUACGAUCGAUGUCAAGUCUGGGUAAGGUUCUUCGGUUAGUAUCGAAUUAAUCCACAUGCUCCACCGCUUGUGCGGGUCCCCGUCAAUUCAUUUGAGUUUCAACCUUGCGGCCGUACUCCCCAGGCGGGAUACUUAAUGCGUUAGCUGCGGCACAAGAGGGGUCGAUACCUCUUACGCCUAGUAUCCAUCGUUUAGGGCGUGGACUA
rnacentral:misc_RNA from 1 species